UAAACGAGGUAGCGUCUGCCACAUGGUCUAAGAGAUAGUGAACAAGUGCUCAUGCUCUAAGGGAUAGCGAAUAAGUGCUCAUGCUCUAAAUGGCUUUAAUAUAGACAUGAAGAACAACAAAAAUAAUUGCUCUUACAGUAUUUUGACCUCUCCCCUACAUCUCAAAAGACUUUCAUUCCUUGUUAGAAAAGAGCCAUUCAGAGUGGCGUUCAAUUGCAGUCCAGCUUAAGGAUGGUAUGGAGAAUCAAUUAGUUUUCGUAGCCUUUUUCACCAACAUCAAUUUUAUCCGGAACGGACAUAACACCACGAAACCUUUAAAGUCAGCAACCUAACAACUGUGCCAUGGCUGCUAUUUUUGUUACAUUGUAUAUUUAUA